rnacentral:rRNA from 1 species
AGAGUUUGAUCCUGGCUCAGGACGAACGCUGGCGGCGUGCUUAACACAUGCAAGUCGAACGGAAAGGCCCGCUUGCGGGUACUCGAGUGGCGAACGGGUGAGUAACACGUGGGCAACCUGCCCUCAGCUCUGGGAUAACUCCGGGAAACCGGUGCUAAUACUGGAUAUCGACUUCUGCCUCGCAUGGGGUGUUGUUGAAAGUUUUUCGGCUGGGGAUGGGCCCGCGGCCUAUCAGCUUGUUGGUGGGGUGAUGGCCUACCAAGGCGACGACGGGUAGCCGGCCUGAGAGGGCGACCGGCCACACUGGGACUGAGACACUGCCCAGACUCCUACGGGAGGCAGCAGUGGGGAAUAUUGCGCAAUGGGCGGAAGCCUGACGCAGCGACGCCGCGUGAGGGAUGACGGCCUUCGGGUUGUAAACCUCUUUCAGCUCUGACGAAGCGAGAGUGACGGUAGGAGCAGAAGAAGCACCGGCCAACUACGUGCCAGCAGCCGCGGUAAUACGUAGGGUGCAAGCGUUGUCCGGAAUUAUUGGGCGUAAAGAGCUCGUAGGCGGUUUGUCGCGUCGAAUGUGAAAACCCGGGGCUCAACCCCGGGCCUGCAUUCGAUACGGGCAGACUAGAGUUCGGUAGGGGAGUCUGGAAUUCCUGGUGUAGCGGUGAAAUGCGCAGAUAUCAGGAGGAACACCGGUGGCGAAGGCGGGACUCUGGGCCGAUACUGACGCUGAGGAGCGAAAGCGUGGGGAGCAAACAGGAUUAGAUACCCUGGUAGUCCACGCCGUAAACGUUGGGCGCUAGGUGUGGGGUUCCUUCCACGAACUCCGUGCCGCAGCUAACGCAUUAAGCGCCCCGCCUGGGGGGUACGGCCGCAAGGCUAAAACUCAAAGGAAUUGACGG